UACGGCCAUAUCACGUUGAAACACCAAUUCCUGUACGAUCACCAAAGUUAAGCAACAUCGAGCCUGGUCUGUACCUAGAUGAGUGACUGCCUGGGAAUACCAGUUGCUGUAAG